rnacentral:rRNA from 1 species
AUUGAACGCUGGCGGCAGGCCUAACACAUGCCAGUCGAGCGGGUGAAGGGAGCUUGCUCCUGGAUUCAGCGGCGGACGGGUGAGUAAUGCCUAGGAAUCUGCCUGGUAGUGGGGGAUAACGUCCGGAAACGGGCGCUAAUACCGCAUACGUCCUGAGGGAGAAAGUGGGGGAUCUUCGGACCUCACGCUAUCAGAUGAGCCUAGGUCGGAUUAGCUAGUUGGUGGGGUAAAGGCCUACCAAGGCGACGAUCCGUAACUGGUCUGAGAGGAUGAUCAGUCACAUUGGAACUGAGACACGGUCCAGAGUCCUACGGGAGGCAGCAGUGGGGAAUAUUGGACAAUGGGCGAAAGCCUGAUCCAGCCAUGCCGCGUGUGUGAAGAAGGCCUUCGGAUUGUAAAGCACUUUAAGUUGGGAGGAAGGGCAGUAAGUUAAUACCUUGCUGUUUUGACGUUACCAACAGAAUAAGCACCGGCUAACUUCGUG